UACAGAGGUCUCAAGCGUUGUUCGGAUUUAUUGGGCGUAAAGGGCGCGUAGGCGGCGGGGUAAGUCGGGUGUGAAAUCUCAGGGCUCAACCCUGAAACUGCACUUGAUACUGCUCUGCUUGAGGGCUGGAGAGGAGAUUGGAAUUCACGGUGUAGCAGUGAAAUGCGUAGAGAUCGUGAGGAAGACCAGUGGCGAAGGCGGAUCUCUGGACAGUUCCUGACGCUGAGGCGCGAAGGCCAGGGGAGCAAACGGG
rnacentral:rRNA from 1 species